rnacentral:lncRNA from 1 species
AAAGACUCGCGACGUGUUCGCGACAUGGUGGGCCGAAGGAGGACACCCCCUUCCUUCUGUAUUCCCCCCGCGUACAUCUGAACUAACCAAGAGAGGUCUAGACGAACAGAGCUCCUGUUAUGGUCUAUAUCGACUUAAAAAAGAAAGCAGAAACUGCCCUUUGAAACGGAAAAUUGUUUACUCCACAGGAUCCGCUGAACAUAGGAUGUUGCCACAAAAUCUACCUCGUGUAUUUUUCUCUUUCACUCAUGAGCUGCACAAUUGCAGAUUUGAGCACAAUGUCUGCAGACUGUGUUGAAAAACUCUGAAGAACCUAAUUAACACAGGAUGACCUAGGAGUGAUUCUAAGUCUGUGUAACAAGAUAUUACUCAUUAGUGAAUGUGUCAGUCUUGGUACUGAAUGCUGCAGAUAACAGCAAGUAGGUUCUCCUUUAUUUCUGAAGUAUUCACUUGACCUUCCAUCAGUAAGACGGACUUUUCUAAUCUGUUCCUGGAGAUAUUAAUGGAAUACAGUCAUGUCCACUCAAGACGAGAGGCAGAUCAAUACUGAAUAUGC